rnacentral:rRNA from 1 species
AUACGGAGGGGGCUAGCGUUGUUCGGAAUUACUGGGCGUAAAGCGCGCGUAGGCGGCUUAUCAAGUUAGGCGUGAAAGGCCUGGGCUCAACCCGGGAACUGCGCUUAAUACUGGUAGACUUGAGUCCGGGAGAGGGUGGCGGAAUUCCCAGUGUAGAGGUGAAAUUCGUAGAUAUUGGGAAGAACACCAGUGGCGAAGGCGGCCACCUGGCCCGGUACUGACGCUGAGGUGCGAAAGCGUGGGGAGCAAACAGGAUUAGAAACCCCUGUAGUCC